UACGUUUGAUCGGUGAAACUAUAAGCUGUGAAGAGGUAACUGAAUGUCUGAAGUACAGUGGAAUUGCCAAGGCAACGCUAUUUCUUAAAAAAUGAAAUGGCACGUCUUGGUUCAAUAUUUUAUUCUGUUGGAUAUGGAUAGGAAAUAGUUCUGCAGCAUGUCUUGGAAGGAUUUCACUAAUUUCAAUUGUCAACUCGGCAUACGUUGUUCAUAUCUGAACGUGAUCAUUUAGUAGUCCAUCCACCAUCCUUGUUGUACUGGAAAAGAUAGUAAAAUAUGCUUCUUACCAAGGACAUAAAAUUCAAUACAGAAUGCAAUACUUGCCUUUAAUUGCGGGAAAGUGAAGCCUGGAGUCAUCGACUGAUAAUCCGAAGGAUCAAAACCUGUGUUCGAAAUUGCUUUAAAGGCUGCAUUAAUUCCACCGACAGACGUUACAUUGGAAAACCUUCAUCCCUAGCUGAGAGUGAAUACUUGAAAGACUACAUCUAUUAAAAGCUGAUUACUCCUAGUUGUAUUUUUCUCCUGAAGCCAGCGAACUUUCCAAAUCUGGAAUUUAUUACUCGCAAGUUAUUUCAGAUCUCGUACAAGCAGGAGCAGCAAAUGCUUUGUAAAGAAGUCUAAAUGGAAUACUGGCUUGUCAUGGGUGAUAUAUUUUUCAUUUAAAUUUGCUUCAAGUUUUGAAAGUAUUUUGAACAUUUUUGGAGCAAGUUCACAAUUCUAUCUCACUGAUCAUUCAAAAUAUUAAGGAUUGUAGAAUUGUUAUAUUACAUGUCCACGUAAAAUCAACUUACUAUCUAGGAUUGGAUAUUGAUCGCAAAUGUACUGUUUUUGAAUGAAAACAUCUAUGAAAUAAUUUAACUGGAACUAUAAAACUGAAGCAGAAACUCGAAUUUACAAAUCCAAAGUUCAAUUCGAGAGUACGUCCAAUCAAAAGUACAAACUUAAAUACAAAAUCUUAAUUUUGAAUGGUGAAUUAUGUAGAUACUGCUAGGAAUGUUGAAAAUCUCGUCCAGUAUUGCAUUAGUCCUUAAAACGUGCAAAAAAUUUUCAAGAUCAAUUUUCUAUGCAAUAGUACUUGGCUAUCUUUUAAGGGAAUCCCCUUUGUACUCUUAACCGAGAUAUAUUGGCAAGUUCAUUCAAUUUCCGUUAAAUAUCAAGGAGUAUCAUAGUUCAUGUUCCAUUAUCCACAAAUCUCGUACACACAUAGUAUUAAAAUGCAGACAAAAUCGUAUCUUGUUUUGUAAUCCAAGUUAAAUAAGCUGAGAUUAUGUGGUGAAAAUCCUUGUAAAAUUAUUGAUACAAUAAUAAUGGGUUUAAGGAAAGUAAAUAUUGGUCAAGCAGUACCAACUAGUCAUUCUUCUUGAAACAUGAAUAUUUGGAGAGAAUUUCGCAAGCGGUAUUCCUCGUGCGCGUUUCACAAAUUAUAUUUUGAGCUAUUAAUUUCAAAGACGAAGCGCUUUCGUUAAUAGGUCGGAAACCCACUAAAGCCUACACAUUGGAGUAUUCUCGAAUUCCCUGCAGGCAUCUUUUCAAAGCUCUUCUUAAACCCUGCUUGCCAUUAAUUUGCGCGUGAGUGUAAAAUUAACUUAAUGCUUCAGUUCUAAUAUAAGUGAAUUUAGGUGUAUAAAGAAAGUUUAAGUACAGGUGUUUCAAAAUCGGAUUUUUCCAAUGUUAAAAGUAUGAAGCUAAGUUUCUUUAUAAAAAUGAAGCGCAAGCCCUAGGAAUAUAGGGAAAGGUUUCUUAAAACAGUAGGUUUCGAUGUCAAAUGGGAGAUUUUUCAGGGAGUAUGGGGCGCAAUCAUUAAUGGCGAAAACAUCCGAUAUUGUCAAAUAAAAUUAAAGUUCAAACAUUCAACUCGAGUAGAAAUAUUUGAUUAAUAUUUUACAGAACUAACAUCUAACCAUUUUAUUUCUAUGUAUUAUUGUUUCACUUUAUCUUGCGUUAAUAAAUAGGGUCGCGAGAUUUUCGCAUAAAAAUGGAUUUGACUGUCUUGUAAACGGGUCCUCAACGGGGAAAUUGCCCUCAAAUAAGAUGUUAAGGAGAAAGGGGAAGCAGAUGAGAAGUCUAAUUUUUCCAUACUUAGGGAAAAGUGGAGGGCGGGAUAGGUGCCAGCCGGCUGGUAAUAGGAAGGGAGUGCGAU